GUUGAAACACCAGAUCCCAUACAAUUAUCAAAGUUAAGCAAUGCUGAUCCUGGUCAGUAUCUGAAUGGGUGACCACUUGGAAAUACCAGGUGCUGUAA